UACGUAGGGGGCAAGCGUUAUCCGGAUUUACUGGGUGUAAAGGGAGCGUAGGCGGCCAUGUAAGUCGGAAGUGAAAGCCCGGGGCUCAACCCCGGGACUGCUUUUGAGACUGUGUGGCUGGAGUGUCGGAGGGGUAAGUGGAAUUCCUAGUGUAGCGGUGAAAUGCGUAGAUAUUAGGAGGAACACCAGUGGCGAAGGCGGCUUACUGGACGAUCACUGACGCUGAGGCUCGAAAGCGUGGGGAGCAAACAGG
rnacentral:rRNA from 1 species